ACGGAGGGUGCAAACGUUGUUCGGAAUUAUUGGGCGUAAAGAGCAUGUAGGCGGUUGUUUAAGUCUGAUGUGAAAGCCCUGGGCUCAACCCAGGAAGUGCAUUGGAUACUGGAUAACUUGAGUACGGGAGAGGAAAGUGGAAUUUCGAGUGUAGGGGUGAAAUCCGUAGAUAUUCGAAGGAACACCAGUGGCGAAGGCGGCUUUCUGGACCGAUACUGACGCUGAGAUGCGAAAGCGUGGGGAGCAAACAGG
rnacentral:rRNA from 1 species